CUACGGGGUGCAGCAGUGAGGAAUUUUGCGCAAUGGGGGAAACCCUGACGCAGCAACGCCGCGUGAGCGAAGAAGGCCCUCGGGUCGUAAAGCUCUGUCAAGUGGGAAAAAAAUCUUUUGAUCAAUAGUCAAAAGACUUGAUGGUACCACUGGAGGAAGCACCGGCUAAGUCCGUGCCAGCAGGCCGCGGUAAUACGGAGGGUGCAAGCGUUGUUCGGAUUUACUGGGCGUAAAGAGCGUGUAGGCGGUUUAGCAAGUCAGAUGUGAAAGCCCUGGGCUCAACCCGGGAAGUGCAUUUGAAACUGCUUCACUAGAGUAUGGGAGAGGAGAUUGGAAUUCCUGGUGUAGAGGUGAAAUUCGUAGAUAUCAGGAGGAACACCCGUGGCGAAGGCGAUUCUCUGGACCAAUACUGACGCUAAGGCGUGAAAGCGUGGGGAGCAAACAGGAUUAGAUACCCCUGUAGUC
rnacentral:rRNA from 1 species